GACAGAGGGUGCAAACGUUGUUCGGAAUUACUGGGCGUAAAGCGCGUGUAGGCGGCUCGGAAAGUCGGAUGUGAAAGCCCUGGGCUUAACCUAGGAAGUGCAUUCGAAACUCCCGAGCUUGAGUUCCGGAGAGGAAGGCGGAAUUCUCGGUGUAGAGGUGAAAUUCGUAGAUAUCGAGAGGAACACCGGUGGCGAAGGCGGCCUUCUGGACAGUGACUGACGCUGAGACGCGAAAGCGUGGGGAGCAAACAGG
rnacentral:rRNA from 1 species